CCGGAGAAUGUUAUCACGGGAGACACACGGCGGGUGCUAACGUCCGUCGUGAAGAGGGAAACAACCCAGACCGCCAGCUAAGGUCCCAAAGUCAUGGUUAAGUGGGAAACGAUGUGGGAAGGCCCAGACAGCCAGGAUGUUGGCUUAGAAGCAGCCAUCAUUUAAAGAAAGCGUAAUAGCUCACUGGUCGAGUCGGCCUGCGCGGAAGAUGUAACGGGGCUAAACCAUGCACCGAAGCUGCGGCAGCGACGCUUAUGCGUUGUUGGGUAGGGGAGCGUUCUGUAAGCCUGCGAAGGUGUGCUGUGAGGCAUGCUGGAGGUAUCAGAAGUGCGAAUGCUGACAUAAGUAACGAUAAAGCGGGUGAAAAGCCCGCUCGCCGGAAGACCAAGGGUUCCUGUCCAACGUUAAUCGGGGCAGGGUGAGUCGACCCCUAAGGCGAGGCCGAAAGGCGUAGUCGAUGGGAAACAGGUUAAUAUUC
rnacentral:rRNA from 1 species